CUGGUGCGCCGGCUGUCCCGCCAGGGGCACCGCCGGGUGGCCACGUCGGGUCCGGAGAAGCGCUGACGGCAUCUAAGCGCGAAGCCAGCCUGGAGAUGAGUCCUCCCUUCCCCAGCGAGGGAGUAAGUCCGCCGCCAGACCAGCGGCUUGCUAGGCGGCAGGUGCACACCCCGUAAGGGGCGCAGCCGGGCCGUCCUAACGGACGAGGGCUUUCUUUC
rnacentral:rRNA from 1 species